CAGGCAUAGGCAAACUCGGCCCUCCAGAUGUUUUGGGUCUGAUGAUGGGAGUUAUAGUCUCAAAACAUCUGGAGGGCCGAGUUUGCCUAUGCCUG